UACAGAGGGGGCAAGCGUUAUUCGGAAUUACUGGGCGUAAAGGGUGCGUAGGCGGGUCUUUAAGUCAGAGGUGAAAUCCUGGAGCUCAACUCCAGAACUGCCUUUGAUACUGAGGAUCUUGAGUACGGGAGAGGUGAGUGGAACUGCGAGUGUAGAGGUGAAAUUCGUAGAUAUUCGCAAGAACACCAGUGGCGAAGGCGGCUCACUGGCCCGUUACUGACGCUGAGGCACGAAAGCGUGGGGAGCAAACAGG
rnacentral:rRNA from 1 species